UACGUAGGGGGCGAGCGUUGUCCGGAAUUACUGGGCGUAAAGCGCACGUAGGCGGCUUUGUAAGUUAGAGGUGAAAGCCCGGGGCUCAACUCCGGAACUGCCUUUAAGACUGCAUCGCUUGAAUCCAGGAGAGGUGAGUGGAAUUCCGAGUGUAGAGGUGAAAUUCGUAGAUAUUCGCAAGAACACCAGUGGCGAAGGGCGGCUCACUGGCCCGGUACUGACGCUGAGGUGCGAAAGCGUGGGGAGCAACAGG
rnacentral:rRNA from 1 species